UACGUAGGCAGCAAGCGUUGUUCGGAGUUACUGGGCGUAAAGGGUGUGUAGGCGGUUGUUUAAGUUUGGUGUGAAAUCUCCCGGCUCAACUGGGAGGGUGCGCCGAAUACUGAAUGACUAGAGUGCGGGAGAGGAAAGUGGAAUUCCUGGUAUAGCGGUGAAAUGCGUAGAUAUCAGGAGGAACACCGGUGGUGUAGACGGCUUUCUGGACCGUAACUGACGCUGAGACACGAAAGCGUGGGUAGCAAACAGG
rnacentral:rRNA from 1 species